UACGUAGGGUGCGAGCGUUAAUCGGAAUUACUGGGCGUAAAGCGUGCGCAGGCGGUUCGUUGUGUCGGCGGUGAAAGCCCCGGGCUUAACCCGGGAAUGGCCGUUGAAACUGGCGAACUGGAGUGUGGCAGAGGAGAGUGGAAUUCCUGGUGUAGCGGUGAAAUGCGCAGAUAUCAGGAAGAACACCCGUGGCGAAAGCGGCUCUCUGGAACGGUACUGACGCUGAGACGCGAAAGCGUGGGGAGCGAACAGG
rnacentral:rRNA from 1 species